UACAGAGGGGGCAAGCGUUAUUCGGAAUUAUUGGGCGUAAAGGGCGCGUAGGCGGCCUGGCAAGUGGAAGGUGAAAUCCCUCGGCUUAACCGAGGAACUGCCCUCCAAACUGCUUGGCUUGAGUCCGGGAGAGGUGAGUGGAAUUCCCAGUGUAGCGGUGAAAUGCGUAGAUAUCUGGAGGAACACCGGUGGCGAAGGCGACAUCCUGGACCGGUAUUGACGCUGAGGCGCGAAAGCUAGGGGAGCAAACGGG
rnacentral:rRNA from 1 species